rnacentral:rRNA from 1 species
AGUGAACGCUGGCGGUAGGCCUAACACAUGCAAGUCGAACGGCAGCACAGUAAGAGCUUGCUCUUACGGGUGGCGAGUGGCGGACGGGUGAGGAAUACAUCGGAAUCUACUUUUUCGUGGGGGAUAACGUAGGGAAACUUACGCUAAUACCGCAUACGACCUACGGGUGAAAGCAGGGGAUCUUCGGACCUUGCGCGAUUGAAUGAGCCGAUGUCGGAUUAGCUAGUUGGCGGGGUAAAGGCCCACCAAGGCGACGAUCCGUAGCUGGUCUGAGAGGAUGAUCAGCCACACUGGAACUGAGACACGGUCCAGACUCCUACGGGAGGCAGCAGUGGGGAAUAUUGGACAAUGGGCGCAAGCCUGAUCCAGCCAUACCGCGUGGGUGAAGAAGGCCUUCGGGUUGUAAAGCCCCUUUGUUGGGAAAGAAAAGCAGCAGGUUAAUACCCCGCUGUUCUGACGGUACCCAAAGAAUAGGCACCGGCUAACUUCGUG